GAUGAACGCUGGCGGCGUGCCUAAUACAUGCAAGUCGAGCGAACAGACGAGGAGCUCGCUCCUCGGACGUUAGCGGCGGACGGGUGAGUAACACGUGGAUACCCUACCUAUAAGACUGGGAUAACUUCGGAAAACCGAAGCUAAUACCGGAUCAUAUAUUGAACCGCAUGGUUCAAUAGUGAAAGACGGUUUUGCUGUCACUUAUAGAUGUAUCCGCGCCGCAUUAGCUAGUUGGUAAGGUAACGGCUUACCAAGGCAACGAUGCGUAGCCGACCUGGGAGGGUGAUCGGGCAAACUGGAACUGAGAAACGGUCCCGACUCCUACGGGAGGCAGCAGGAGGGAAUCUUCCGCAAUGGGCGAAAGCCCGACGGCACAACGCCGCGUGAGUGAUGAAGGUCUUCGGAUCGGAAAACUCUGUUAUGAGGGAAGAACAAAUGUGUAAGUAACUAUGCACGUCUUGACGGUACCUAAUCAGAAAGCCACCGCUAAAUACGUU
rnacentral:rRNA from 1 species